GACGAACGCUGGCGGCGUGCUUAACACAUGCAAGUCGAACGGUAAGGCCCUUCGGGGUACACGAGUGGCGAACGGGUGAGUAACACGUGGGUGAUCUGCCCUGCACUUCGGGAUAAGCCUGGGAAACUGGGCCUAAUACCGGAUAGGACUCCGGACUGCAUGGUCUGGGGUGGAAAGCUUUUGCGGUGUGGGAUGGGCCCGCGGCCUAUCAGCUUGUUGGUGGGGUGAUGGCCUACCAAGGCGACGACGGGUAGCCGGCCUGAGAGGGUGACCUGCCACACUGGGACUCAGAUGCGGCCCAGACUCCUACGGGAGGCAGCAGUGGGGAAUAGUGCACAAUGUGCGCAAGCCUGAUGCAGCGACGCCGCGUGAGGGAUGACGGCCUUCGGGUUGUAAACCUCUUUCAGCACAGACGAAGCGCAAGUGACGGUAUGUGCAGAAGAAGGACCGGCCAACUACGUGCCAGCCGCCGCAGUAA
rnacentral:rRNA from 1 species